AUUGAACGCUGGCGGCAGGCUUAACACAUGCAAGUCGAGCGGGGGAAGGUAGCUUGCUACCGGACCUAGCGGCGGACGGGUGAGUAAUGCUUAGGAAUCUGCCUAUUAGUGGGGGACAACAUCUCGAAAGGGAUGCUAAUACCGCAUACGUCCUACGGGAGAAAGCAGGGGAUCUUCGGACCUUGCGCUAAUAGAUGAGCCUAAGUCGGAUUAGCUAGUUGGUGGGGUAAAGGCCUACCAAGGCGACGAUCGGUAGCGGGUCUGAGAGGAUGAUCCGCCACACUGGGAUUGAGACACGGCCCAGACUCCUACGGGAGGCAGCAGUGGGGAAUAUUGGACAAUGGGGGGAACCCUGAUCCGGCCAUGCCGCGUGUGUGAAGAAGGCCUUAUGGUUGUAAAGCACUUUAAGCGAGGAGGAGGCUACUCUAGUUAAUACCUAGGGAUAGUGGACGUUACUCGCAGAAUAAGCACCGGCUAACUCUGUGCCAGCAGCCGCCGUAA
rnacentral:rRNA from 1 species